GACGAACCGUGCGAACGUUGUUCGGAAUCACUGGGCUUAAAGGGCGCGUAGGCGGGCGGUCAAGUCAGAGGUGAAAUCCCACGGCUCAACCGUGGAAGUGCCCCUGAUACUGAUCGUCUCGAGGGAGGUAGGGGCGUGCGGAACUUCCGGUGGAGCGGUGAAAUGCGUAGAUAUCGGAAGGAACACCGAUGGCGAAAAGCAGCGCGCUGGACCUCUACUGACGCUGAGGCGCGAAAGCCAGGGGAGCAAACGGG
rnacentral:rRNA from 1 species